AUUUAAAUAGCUUAAGGUAAAAGUUUAAUAUUGAAAAUAUUAAGAUAAUUUAUAAUUUUUAAAUA
rnacentral:tRNA from 1 species